GGCGGCAGGCCUAACACAUGCAAGUCGAACGGUAACAGGAAGAAGCUUGCUUCUUUGCUGACGAGUGGCGGACGGGUGAGUAAUGUCUGGGAAACUGCCUGAUGGAGGGGGAUAACUACUGGAAACGGUAGCUAAUACCGCAUAACGUCGCAAGACCAAAGAGGGGGACCUUCGGGCCUCUUGCCAUCGGAUGUGCCCAGAUGGGAUUAGCUUGUUGGUGGGGUAACGGCUCACCAAGGCGACGAUCCCUAGCUGGUCUGAGAGGAUGACCAGCCACACUGGAACUGAGACACGGUCCAGACUCCUACGGGAGGCAGCAGUGGGGAAUAUUGCACAAUGGGCGCAAGCCUGAUGCAGCCAUGCCGCGUGUAUGAAGAAGGCCUUCGGGUUGUAAAGUACUUUCAGCGGGGAGGAAGGGAGUAAAGUUAAUACCUUUGCUCAUUGACGUUACCCGCAGAAAGAAGCACCGGCUAACUCCGUGCCA
rnacentral:rRNA from 1 species